rnacentral:rRNA from 1 species
CUACGCUCGUCUCAAAGAUUAAGCCAUGCAUGUGUAAGUAUAAAUAAUUUUACUUUGAAACCUGCGAAUGGCUCAUUAUAUCAGUUAUAGUUUAUUAGAAAUACUUUACUACUUGGAUAACCGUAGUAAUUCUAGGGCUAAUACAUGAAUAAAUCCUCAACUUCGGAAGAGGUGUGUUUAUUAGUAUGAAAACCAUAUAUCUUCGGAUAUAAUAGUGAGUAAUAAUAACCUUUCAUAUCGUAUGUCGUAAGAUAACGAUAGUUCUUUCAAGUUUCUGCCCUAUCAGCUUUCGAUGGUAGUAUAUGGGACUACCAUG